rnacentral:rRNA from 1 species
AGUCGAGCGCGCCCUUCGGGGUGAGCGGCGGACGGGUGAGUAACGCGCGGGAAUAUGCCCUUCUCUAAGGAAUAGCCUCUGGAAACGGAGAGUAAUACCUUAUACGCCCUUUGGGGGAAAGAUUUAUCGGAGAAGGAUUAGCCCGCGUUAGAUUAGGUAGUUGGUGGGGUAAUGGCCUACCAAGCCUACGAUCUAUAGCUGGUUUGAGAGGAUGAUCAGCCACACUGGGACUGAGACACGGCCCAGACUCCUACGGGAGGCAGCAGUAGGGAAUCUUAGACAAUGGGGGCAACCCUGAUCUAGCCAUGCCGCGUGUGUGAUGAAGGCCCUAGGGUCGUAAAGCACUUUCGCCAGAGAUGAUAAUGACAGUAUCUGGUAAAGAAACCCCGGCUAACUCCGUGCCAGCAGCCGCGGUAAUACGGAGGGGGUUAGCGUUGUUCGGAAUUACUGGGCGUAAAGCGCACGUAGGCGGAUUAGUAAGUUAGAGGUGAAAUCCCAGGGCUCAACCCUGGAACUGCCUUUAAUACUGCUAGUCUUGAGUUCGAGAGAGGUAAGUGGAAUUCCGAGUGUAGAGGUGAAAUUCGUAGAUAUUCGGAGGAACACCAGUGGCGAAGGCGGCUUACUGGCUCGAUACUGACGCUGAGGUGCGAAAGUGUGGGGAGCAAACAGGAUUAGAUACCCUGGUAGUCCACCCCGUAAACGAUGAAUGCCAGACGUCAGCAAGUAUACUUGGUGGGUGUCACCCCUAACGGAUUAAGCCUUUCCCCCUUGGGGAGUACCGGCCGCAGAUUAAAACUCCAAGGAA